rnacentral:rRNA from 1 species
UACAGAGGGGGCAAGCGUUAUUCGGAAUUACUGGGCGUAAAGGGCUCGUAGGCGGCCAACUAAGUCGGAUGUGAAAUCCCCAGGCUUAACCUGGGAACUGCAUCCGAUACUGGAUGGCUUGAAUCCGGGAGAGGGAUGCAGAAUUCCAGGUGUAGCGGUGAAAUGCGUAGAUAUCUGGAGGAAUACCAGUGGCGAAGGCGGGUCUCUGGACAGUUCCUGACACUGAGGCACGAAGGCCAGGGGAGCAAACGGG